rnacentral:rRNA from 1 species
AUUGAACGCUGGCGGAAUGCUUUACACAUGCAAGUCGGGCGGCAGCGCGGGGGCAACCCUGGCGGCGAGCGGCGAACGGGUGAGUAACACAUCGGAACGUAUCCUGUCGUGGGGGAUAACGAAUCGAAAGAUUCGCUAAUACCGCAUACGACCUGAGGGUGAAAGCGGGGGAUCGCAAGACCUCGCGCGAUUGGAGCGGCCGAUGUCGGAUUAGCUAGUUGGUGAGGUAAAGGCUCACCAAGGCGACGAUCCGUAGCGGGUCUGAGAGGACGGCCCGCCACACUGGAACUGAGACACGGUCCAGACUCCUACGGGAGGCAGCAGUGGGGAAUUUUGGACAAUGGGGGCAACCCUGAUCCAGCCAUGCCGCGUGAGUGAAGAAGGCCUUCGGGUUGUAAAGCUCUUUCGGCCGGGAAGAAAUCGCAUGGGUUAAUACCCUGUGCGGAUGACGGUACCGGCAUAAGAAGCACCGGCUAACUCCGUGCCAGCAGCCGCGGUAA